GUUGUGGCUCAGUGGUAGAGCACUUGCCUAGCACACAUGAGGCACUGGGUUCAAUACCUAGCAUUACA
rnacentral:tRNA from 1 species